rnacentral:rRNA from 1 species
AUUGAACGCUGGCGGCAUGCCUUACACAUGCAAGUCGAACGGCAGCACGGACUUCGGUCUGGUGGCGAGUGGCGAACGGGUGAGUAAUACAUCGGAACGUGCCUAGUAGUGGGGGAUAACUACUCGAAAGAGUGGCUAAUACCGCAUGAGAUCUACGGAUGAAAGCAGGGGAUCGCAAGACCUUGUGCUACUAGAGCGGCCGAUGGCAGAUUAGGUAGUUGGUGGGAUAAAAGCUUACCAAGCCAACGAUCUGUAGCUGGUCUGAGAGGACGAUCAGCCACACUGGGACUGAGACACGGCCAG